AGGAAAUCUUCCAUGAUCAGCUCAGACCUGCCAAUCUGGAGAACUUUGGCUUGGGGGAAAUUUAGGAGUCAUAUUUCACUCCUCACUUUCAAGAGAGAGUCUGCUGGCUCUCUACUUCAUCAUUGCUGCAUCUGCCAUGUCAGCCGUCCCCAGAUCUUCAGCGGAACUGACUCUACAAAGCUCGAGCUUCGCCCCAGGCUGGCCUCUGUCUGAAAUGCUCCUCCUGCCUACCCUGGUCUACCUAAUUCCUGCUCAUCAUCAUUCAAAUCUCGGCUGCCCCUCAGAAGCCACCAUUGACUUUACAGUUUCCGUGAGAUUCUCCAGUUCUGCUCUCCCAUAAUGCCCUGUUCGUAUACCUAUGGCUAGGGGUGUGUAAUGGUUCACUUAACUUGCUACACGUAUCAUGAAAGUAGAUAUUAUGUCUGUUGUGUCCUCCAUGAAAACUGCCCGGACCAUAAAAGAUAUUCAGAAAGCAUGUGAUAUCGUUAAGUACAUGAGCCAUUUUUAUCACUUUAAAUCACCAGUGUCAACAGAUCAUGUCCCCUCAAAAUUAGCUAUUCGUGAGAACCUUCAGCCUAAUCCACAAAACUCUGGACAACCCAGGGAAUGCUUGACACUAACACCCUGCUUAACUGCCCCGUGCUUUGGUGUCCAUUUUGUUCUGCUAGACCUCACGGAGAGGUUUGCUUCUCAGUAUGUGGCUUGUAUAUUUCACUUCCUCCAUCUCCCGUAUGUGUCCUGCUCAUCACUUGUCAAAGCGUGACUCUCAUGUCACCUACCUGCUUUAAAGUGGCAGUCAGUGCCCACUCAAAGAAGCAGUGGUGUAGAAACCCUGGAUCCUUUGUUCCACCUGAACCUGUGAUCCUGUAAAUCCCAGGAUUUGUGGGAAUGAUGGCAUAAAGGUCAUGCCUGGUUGAGCCGUGUCCCCCUUAGCUAGUGCUUGCUUUUUCUGUUACAGGACAUACGCCGCUGUGUGCACAGGGUGGUUUAGAGGGUGGCCCUCACUGAAGGCAUUGCCUUCUUUUGGGAUUUUGCUAUUCAAAACCAGAUCAGCCGUUUGUCAGAGGAAUCUAGUGAGUCUCCAUGCUGCUGGACCAUUACCCAUGAUCCCUUCCCAUUACAGUCUCAUCGGGAGGCUCAUGAAACACUGGGGACCCUAGUCUAGAGCAUCAGGUGGAAAACAAGAACCAAUUCCCUGCUGCAUGUCCUGAGUGCCCUUGAAGGGGAGAUGGCCUAGCCCUUCUCCUCUAAUCUCCUCCAUCUCUGCAAAAGAGGAGCAGCAGAGGAUUAACUGGUUUUAUCAGCAAAGCAUUAAGCUCACUGGAGAUAAAGCACAACUCCCAAAGGGAUGGAGAGUACACACAUGAUUAGGGGAAAGGUAGAAGGAAGGAAACAAGAUGUGCUUUGUGCUGGGUGCCAGACUGUGGCUGCUGCAUGGGCAUGGUGGGAAAGGGGGAAGCAGGGAGAGGGUAACUUGAGGGCACUGGACUGCAGGAUACAAAUGACCUGCCACUGGGCAGCAGGAGUACAUGAAGUCUUUUGGGGCAGGUCGGAAGAGGCAUCAGGUUCCCUCUUUCCAUCUCCUUCUCUUGACUACAUUGUUGCAUUAGGAAAAGUUGCCAGGGAUGACAGGGGCCACUGUUUCUGUUAACUCUAAGCAGGAAGUGGCUACAGUUUAGAAGUUGUUAUUUAUGGACCCCUUUAGGAAGAAAAAACAAUAGGAAAUAAGCAGAAGAGCAUCUGGGUGAAUACUUAGAGAGGGGAAGAGCUCACUUAGAGCUGAGAGUCGCUGGGAGGGAGGGGCUGGAGGCUGAACUCCAACAGCAGAGAUACAAUGUAAAGUUACAAAGCAUCCACGGAGGUGUCAUGGGGGUACAUUGCCGCUUGUAUUCUUACAGGUUCAAAUCAGUAUGAUGUUUAAGGACUGGUUCCAUAGUUGUGAUGGAUUUCAGUACAAAGCAGGUGAUGACAUGUGUGGGGAGAAUUGUCCACAUGAAGGAAUGCCUGGAAAAUCUGGGUGGCUUUGCUUGAGAAGGGAAGGAUCACAAAAUAACACAUGUUCUACAUGUUAGAGGCCUGUGAAUGUGCCACGAUGCCGAGUGCCCUUCAUAUGUAGCCUCAUGGAAACCUUACCCUGAAAAGGAGGGUCUCCUAGUAAGGUUCCGGGAGGUUCACCAACCUGCCCGAGGCUUCAUAGCCAGCAGGAGGCCCAUCCAGGAAGCAAGCCUGUGUUCCCUGGCCCCUCCAUUUCUAAAGGGCCACUUUGCCCUCCAGGAAGGAGGUUCUCCAGACUUGCUCUGCUAAAUAAAAAUAAUGAACUUA